AGCGGAUCGACGCCUCAGGUAUCUGUUACUCCUGGUGGGCGCUGGAAUAGAUUUAAAACCUACUCCACAAUUCAAAGAACCGUGGAAAUAUGGGGUUCUGUUUUUACUUUUAUUUUUAAGGUUUGGCUCAACAACCAGAAGUUCUCGUAUCGAGGAGGAAUGACAGAAGAGAAAAAAGUUCUAAGAAGGAAAUCCCUUGCUAAGUGGUUAAAGG
rnacentral:misc_RNA from 1 species